rnacentral:rRNA from 1 species
AUAAAGUCUGACCUGCCCACUGAUAAUUUUUAAAUGGCCGCAGUAUUUUGACUGUGCAAAGGUAGCAUAAUCAUUAGUCUUUUAAUUGAAGGCUGGAAUGAAUGGUUGGACGAAAUAUUAACUGUUUCAUUUAAAAUUAAUAUAGAAUUUUAUUUUUUAGUCAAAAAGCUAAAAUAAAAUUAAAAGACGAGAAGACCCUAUAAAUCUUUAUAUUUUGUUUAUUUUAAUUAUAAAGAUUAGUUUAAUUUUAAUAAAUUAAAAUAUUUUAUUGGGGUGAUAUUAAAAUUUAAAAAACUUUUAAUUUUAAAAAACAUUAAUUUAUGAAUAAUUGAUCCAUUAAUAAUGAUUAAAAAAUUAAGUUACUUUAGGGAUAACAGCGUAAUUUUUUUGGAGAGUUCAUAUCGAUAAAAAAGAUUGCGACCUCGAUGUUGGAUUAAGAUAUAAUUUUGGGUGUAGCCGUUCAAAUUUUAAGUCUGUUCGACUUUUAAAUUCUUACAUGAUCUGAGUUCAAACCGGUGUAAGCCAGGUUGGUUUCUAUCUUUAAAAAAUUAUAAUAUUUUAGUACGAAAGGACCAAAUAUUAAAAUAAUUAUAUUUAAUAUAAUGAAUAUUAUUAAUAUUU